rnacentral:rRNA from 1 species
CGGCGAGUGAAGCGGCAACAGCUCAAAUUUGAAAUCUGGCCUCCUUUGGGGGUCCGAGUUGUAAUUUGCAGAGGGUGCUUUGGCGUCGGCAGCGGUCUAAGUUCCUUGGAACAGGACAUCACAGAGGGUGAGAAUCCCGUACGUGGUCGCCUGCCUUCGCCGUGUAAAGCCCCUUCGACGAGUCGAGUUGUUUGGGAAUGCAGCUCUAAAUGGGAGGUAAAUUUCUUCUAAAGCUAAAUACCGGCCAGAGACCGAUAGCGCACAAGUAGAGUGAUCGAAAGAUGAAAAGCACUUUGGAAAGAGAGUCAAACAGCACGUGAAAUUGUUGAAAGGGAAGCGCUUGCAGCCAGACUUGCUCGUAGUUGCUCACCUGGGUCCGCCCGGGGCACUCUUCUGCGAGCAGGCCAGCAUCAGUUUGGGCGACCGGAUAAAGGCCUCUGUCAUGUAUCUUCCUUCGGGAUGACCUUAUAGGGGAGGCGUAAUGCGGCCAGCCCGGACUGAGGUCCGCGCUAGGAUGCUGGCGUAAUGGCUGUAAGCGGCCCGUCUUGAAACACGGACCAAGGAGUCUAACAUCUAUGCGAGUGUUUGGGUGUCAAGCCCGGGCGCGUAAUGAAAGUGAACGGAGGUGGGAACCCUCUCCGGGGGGUGCACCAUCGACCGAUCCUGAUGUCUUCGGAUGGAUUUGAGUAAGAGCAUAGCUGUUGGGACCCGAAAGAUGGUGAACUAUGCUUGAAUAGGGUGAAGCCAGAGGAAACUCUGGUGGAGGCUCGCAGCGGUUCUGACGUGCAAAUCGAUCGUCAAAUUUGGGCAUAGGGGCGAAAG